GGACAACCUGCCCUAUGGUGAGGGAUAACUCCGGGAAACUGGAGAUAAUACCUCAUAGUUUACCGUGGCUGGAAUGCCUGGUAAGCCCAAAGGUCCGCCGCCAUAGGAUGGGUCUGCGGCCGAUUAGGUUGUUGUUGGGGUAACGGCCCAACAAGCCUGUGAUCGGUACGGGUUGUGGGAGCAAGAGCCCGGAGAUGGAUUCUGAGACACGAAUCCAGGCCCUACGGGGCGCAGCAGGCGCGAAAACUUUACAAUGCAGGCAACUGUGAUAAGGGAACCCCGAGUGCCCGUAUGGACGGGCUGUUCAGGUGCUUAAAAACCACCUGGAGAAAGGGCCGGGCAAGACCGGUGCCAGCCGCCGCGGUAAUACCGGCGGCUCGAGUGGUGGCCACUAUUACUGGGCUUAAAGCGUCCGUAGCUUGGUCGUUAAGCCUCUGGGGAAAUCUUCCGGCUCAACCGGAAGGCGUCUCAGGGGGACUGGCGACCUAGGGAUCGGGAGAGGUGAGAGGUACUCUGGGGGUAGGAGUG
rnacentral:rRNA from 1 species